CACUUCCUACGGGACGCAGCAGUGGGGGAUAUUGCACAAUGGGGGGAACCCUGAUGCAGCGACGCCGCGUGGGUGAAGAAGCGCCUCGGCGCGUAAAGCCCUGUCAGCAGGGAAGAAAAUGACGGUACCUGAAGAAGAAGCCCCGGCUAACUACGUGCCAGCAGCCGCGGUAAUACGUAGGGGGCAAGCGUUAUCCGGAUUUACUGGGUGUAAAGGGGGCGCAGACGGCGAUGCAAGCCAGGAGUGAAAGCACGGGGUCCAACCCCGGGACUGCUCUUGGAACUGCGUGGCUGGAGUGAAGGAGG
rnacentral:rRNA from 1 species